GGGCCUGUGGUCUAGCGGUUACAACUAAGAUUGCCGCAAAUGACAUCGCCUCGACACGGCGAAGGUCACCAGUUCAAAUCUGGUCAGGCCCA
rnacentral:tRNA from 1 species